UUUUAUAAAUAUUUAAGGCUUAAAUUGUGACUACAAAAACAAUAUAGUUACAAAAAUAGGGUUGCUAAAAAAACAAGCUAAAGAAGCAACUGGUUCUACAAGAAGGUGGUCAGCUAAAACCGAAAAGAUUCUCUGUUUCGAUCACAGCAGAGGGGAUUGAAAAAGAUCUGUUUGCCAUGAGAGGUAAAAGGCCCUUAGGUCCAACAAGAAGAGAACCAAGAAGAUGCAGAAUGAUGUUGAUAUAAAGAAAAUACUGUGUUCUCAUUCCUGGGAGUUCACUCUUUGGAGGUCAUAUGGCACGUUUUUAAACAUUAUUAGCUCAAUAAUAGUUGCUUGCUAA
rnacentral:lncRNA from 1 species